rnacentral:rRNA from 1 species
GAUCCUGGCUCAGGAUGAACGCUGGCGGCGUGCUUAACACAUGCAAGUCGAACGAAGCACUUAAAUUUGAUUCUUCGGAUGAAGAUUUUUGUGACUUAGUGGCGGACGGGUGAGUAACGCGUGGGUAACCUGCCUCACACAGGGGGAUAACAGUUGGAAACGACCGCUAAUACCGCAUAACCCGCUAGGGCCGCAUGGCCCGGACGGAAAAGAUUUAUCGGUGUGAGAUGGACCCGCGUUGGAUUAGCUAGUUGG